CGAAGGGAACUGAAUGAGGACAAGCUGGAGAAGCUGGAGGAGCUAACAAUGGAUGGGGCCAAGGCUAAGGCUAUUCUGGAUGCCUCACGGUCCUCCAUGGGUCAGUGCAGAGCCUGGCAGCCUGCAUAAGGUAUGGGGCUCUAAAUAUCUGGCGUCUUGCAUUCACACUUGGUUUUUCCUAGGCAUGGACAUAUCUGCCAUUGACUUGAUAAACAUCGAGAGCUUCUCCAGUCGUGUGGUGUCUUUAUCUGAAUACCGCCAGAGCCUACACACUUACCUGCGCUCCAAGAUGAGCCAAGUAGCCCCCAGCCUGUCAGCCCUAAUUGGGGAAGCGGUGCGUCACAGGGGAUACAAAAAUGGGAGAAUAAGGACUGUUGCCAUGUGUACCUGCACUGUAUUUCGUGACCCACCAUGUCUUCCCUAGUUGUGCUUGGUGGGGAGCAGGGCUGUCAUGCAACUGGCAGGUUAGCAGUUUAUUUCUCUGACUGUUUCCUUGACUCUCUCUCCAGGUAGGUGCACGUCUCAUCGCACAUGCUGGCAGCCUCACCAACCUGGCCAAGUAUCCAGCAUCCACAGUGCAGAUCCUUGGGGCUGAAAAGGCCCUGUUCAGGUACCAGUGAGGGCACCUGCCCACAAUCAGGUGCCACUUCUGGUGCCCACUGCUUGUUGGGGGAUCACGGUGAUGGCUGACCAGGGCUCCCUGACCUAUACAGGCCUCUGCUAUGGGGGUGAUGGCCAGUCCUGGUGUCUGAGUGAUUCCCAGGGCCCAGCAAAGGGACCAAGUCUCCAGGUCAGCGACAUUGGAUGCCUUCCCUCUGCCUCUGGGAGCUAUGGGUUGGCAUGCAUUGGGGUAGAGAUCCAAUCUGGCCUGAGGCUCACUCAGGACUUCGGGGUGAGAGGAGGGGAGGAGCUGAGCUGCCUUGGCUAAUGGGGUUGAAAUUUCUGAUCUUAAACUCUCCACUGAAUAUUCUCUCAGAGCCCUGAAGACAAGGGGUAACACUCCAAAAUAUGGACUCAUUUUCCACUCCACCUUCAUUGGCCGAGCAGCUGCCAAGAACAAAGGCCGCAUCUCCCGAUACCUGGCAAACAAAUGCAGUAUUGCCUCACGAAUCGAUUGCUUCUCUGGUAUGGGUGGGGGGUGCUGGCAGGUGUGAGAAGGGGCUGGGUGGCUGGGUGGAUGGGUGGGGAGGCUUGCAACCAUAGCUUCCACAAUGAUGGCAAUAUUUUUCGUCAACAGCAGUUCACCUAGUGAGUGUUGAGACUAUGGGUCUGAGUGAAGCUGAGGGUAGAGGGAACACAGGGUUGGAGUAGUUUGUCUCUUUGGGCUGACAGGCUUUGUCACCCACACACACAUCCAGAGGUGCCCACGAGUGUAUUUGGCGAGAAGCUUCGAGAACAAGUUGAAGAGCGACUGUCCUUCUAUGAGACUGGAGAGAUACCACGAAAGAAUCUGGAUGUCAUGAAGGAAGCAAUGGUUCAGGUCAGUUGGGCUUUGCUGGGUGUGGAGUGGCAUAGCUAGCUGUUGGAGGUGAUGAACUGUCUGAGCCUGACCUUGUAGAAUGGAGGCAAAAAAACUGAUUUAAUGAGCCUGAUCCAAUAAAGCCAGAAAGGAGUCCUCAGAGCACCAGAGGUCUUCAGGCCCUUUUAGCACUUUUCUUUGACCAGGCAGAGGAAGCGGCUGCUGAGAUUACUAGGAAGCUGGAGAAACAGGAGAAGAAACGCUUAAAGAAGGAAAAGAAACGGCUGGCUGCACUUGCCCUUGCAUCUUCAGAAAACAGCAGUAGUACUCCAGAGGAGUGUGAGGUCAGUAGGCAGCACGGCUCCGGCAGAGAUCCUAGGUUGUAGGAUUUUCAACAGCAGAACAAAGGAUGUGCUGCAUAAGCUGUGGUCUUGAGUCCAGGCUCUUGGACUGAAACAAGGACCUGAAACAUCUAAAACUACCUCUUGAUUCUAUAGGAAGGAGAUAGGUGCUGAACUUGCUCAAGAGCCCAGAGAGCUGGUUGUAGCUCACACCCAUUCCCUGGGCAUGUGUGUUCUGUCCUCGGCUGCCUCCCAGGAGUCCUCAACCUGGGGUAGUGUAAAUUCCUGCUCUGCUUAUUAUCAGACGUGUGUCCGGAGGUGGUAGUGUUUCACAGUGGGGAUGGGGGCAGGGAGGUCCCCAAUGUGCUAAGCUACGUUAUCCCUGAGAUUUUCAUUUAGCACCCAGUUUCUUAAACAGUGUUUCAGGGCCCUGCCUGGAACUUGGCAUGAUGGUUCUGUUGCGACCAACAUAGUGGGUGUUUCUUAAGGUUUUUUUUUUCAAUGGGCUGAGGUAAUUUCUCAUUACAUGUUUUCCUUCUAAUUUGGGACGGCCUUUGGGGUGGAUUUCUAAAGUUAUACCCACACAAUUAAACUAUCCCAGAAACACUGGGCAAUGUUAACUACACAGGUUCCCCUGCCUUGGCUACUUAAUUGCUGAAGAUGUAAUGAGCACUGUUCUCACAGCCUGUUCCCCUGUCCUUCCCUUUAGGAGACGAGUGAAAAACCCAAAAAGAAGAAAAAGCAAAAGCCCCAGGAGGUUCCUCAGGAGAAUGGAAUGGAAGACCCAUCUAUCUCUUUUUCCAAACCCAAGAAAAAGAAAUCUUUUUCCAAGGAGGAGUUGAUGAGUAGCGAUCCUGAAGAGACCGCUGGCAGCACCAGUAUUCCCAAGAAAAAGAAGUCUUCACCCAAGGAGGAAACAGUUAAUGACCCUGAAGAGGCAGGCCACAGAAGUGGCUCCAAGAAAAAGAGGAAAUUCUCCAAAGAGGAGCCGGUCAGCAGUGGGCCUGAAGAGGCGGCUGGCAAGAGCAGCUCCAAGAAGAAGAAAAAGUUCCAUAAAGCAUCCCAGGAAGAUUAGAAUGCAAAUGGACAUUCUCUGGGAGGUGGGGCAUACCAUAGCCCAAGGUGACAUUUCCCACCCUGUGCCGUGUUCCCCAAUAAAAACAAAUUCACAAA
rnacentral:sRNA from 1 species